rnacentral:rRNA from 1 species
GUAGGUGGCAAGCGUUGUCCGGAAUUAUUGGGCGUAAAGCGCGCGCAGGUGGUUCUUUAAGUCUGAUGUGAAAGCCCCCGGGCUCAACCGGGGAGGGUCAUUGGAAACUGGGGAACUUGAGUGCAGGAGAGGAAAGUGGAAUUCCACGUGUAGCGGUGAAAUGCGUAGAUAUGUGGAGGAACACCAGUGGCGAAGGCGACUUUCUGGCCUGUAACUGACACUGAGGCGCGAAAGCGUGGGGAGCAAACAGGAUUAGAUACCCUGGUAGUCCACGCCGUAAACGAUGAGUGCUAAGUGUUGGGGGGUUUCCGCCCCUCAGUGCUGCAGCUAACGCAUUGAGCACUCCGCCUGGGGGGUACGGUCGCAAAGACUG